rnacentral:rRNA from 1 species
AGUGAACGCUGGCGGUAGGCCUAACACAUGCAAGUCGAACGGCAGCACAGUAAGAGCUUGCUCUUACGGGUGGCGAGUGGCGGACGGGUGAGGAAUACAUCGUAAUCUACUUUUUCGUGGGGGAUAACGUAGGUAAACUUACGCUAAUACCGCAUACGACCUACGGGUGAAAGCAGGGGAUCUUCGGACCUUUCGCGAUUGAAUGAGCCGCUGUCGGAUUAGCUAGUUGGCGGGGUAAAGGCCCACCAAGGCGACGAUCCGUAGCUGGUCUGAGAGGAUGAUCAGCCACACUGGAACUGAGACACGGUCCAGACUCCUACGGGAGGCAGCAGUGGGGAAUAUUGGAAAAUGGGCGCAAGCCUGAUCCAGCCAUACCGCGUGGGUGAAGAAGGCCUUCGGGUUGUAAAGCCCUUUUGUUGGGAAAGAAAAGCAGCAGGUUAAUACCCCGCUGUUCUGACGGUACCCAAAGAAUAAGCACCGGCUAACUUCGU